GCGAAAAGAUGAGGAGCUUGCUCCUCUGUGUUAGCGGCGGACGGGUGAGUAACACGUGGGGAA
rnacentral:rRNA from 1 species